UGCCUCCUGGUGCUUACCACAGGCAGUGUUUUAUGCUGACUGUAUAGAAAAGGGAGGAAAAGUAAAUUUGCCCCAUAUGCACCUCAGCCCAGGCCUUGUCUGUAUUGUGAAUGGGGAAACAGGC
rnacentral:snoRNA from 1 species